rnacentral:rRNA from 1 species
GAACGAUGGCUUCGGCCAUAGUGGCGCACGGGUGAGUAGCGCGUGGGAAUCUGCCCAUUGGUCUGGAAUAACGUUGGGAAACCGACGCUAAUACCGGAUACGCCCUUCGGGGGAAAGUUUUAAUGCCAAUGGAUGAGCCCGCGUCGGAUUAGUUAGUUGGUGGGGUAACGGCCUACCAAGACGUCGAUCCGUAGCUGGUCUGAGAGGACGAUCAGCCACACUGGGACUGAGACACGGCCCAG